CUUGGUCAUUUAGAGGAAGUAAAGGUCGUAACAAGGUUUCCGUAGGUGAACCUGCGGAAGGAUCAUUCAUAAUAAGUGUUUUAUGGCACUUUUUUAAAUCCAUAUCCACCUUGUGUGCAAUGUCAGGGUUGGUCUCUUGAAAAAGAGAUCAGCCCCAAACAUCAACCCAAUCUUAACUCUUUGUCUGAAAAAUAUUAUGAAUAAAACAAUUCAAAAUACAACUUUCAACAACGGAUCUCUUGGCUCUCGCAUCGAUGAAGAACGCAGCGAAAUGCGAUACGUAAUGUGAAUUGCAGAAUUCAGUGAAUCAUCGAAUCUUUGAACGCAUAUUGCGCUCUUUGGUAUUCCGAAGAGCAUGCUUGUUUGAGUAUCAGUAAACACCUCAAAGCCUUUUUUUGUUAAGAGGCCUUGGACUUGAGCAAUCCCAACACUUUUCCUCCAAGAAAAGUGGCGGGUUGCUUGAAAUGCAGGUGCAGCUGGACAUUCUCCUGAGCUAAAAGCAUAUUCAUUUAGUCCCGUCAAACGGAUUAUUACUUUUGCUGCAGCUAACAUAAAGGGAGUUUGACCAUUUUGGCUGACUGAUGCAGGAUUUUCACAAGAGUCUUCAAAAGCUUUUGUUAAACUCGAUCUCAAAUCAAGUAAGACUACCCGCUGAACUUAAGCAUAUCAAUAAGCGGAGGA
rnacentral:rRNA from 1 species